AUCAAUGUGCAUUCUGGGGAUUUAACUCAGAUCCCCUGCUCGGAAGACAAGGACUUUACUGACUGAGGCAUCUCCUUAGCCUCAGAGCCAGAAUUUAGUCCCAGGCCCUCUCCCUCUGCAAGAACAAGACUUGGUCUCACACUCUGACCUCUGGUCAGGGACUUUCCUCACAUAAAGUCACAUAAAGGUAGACAAGACAGACAAAGGUGGAGCUCUUGGUCGCACCCAUCACAUGCUUGCCAUGAGUCACCCACUGUCAGGAUCGGCCGGGUGAGUUUUCUUUCUUAAUGGAGUCACUGGAAUUGGGUUGUGUUUGAGCACGUGCCUUCUUGUUGUAAGCAAGACCUUGGACAACUAACUGUUGCUCUCCGAUUUUGAGCGCCAAGAUUAGGGGACCACUUUCUCAUUUCAUCAGAGGUCUAGGCAGGCACUAGCUUCUUUGAAGACACCAGGAUCCAGGCCAGUUUUUUCUUACAGGCCCUCCAGUCCUCCAUGAAGAGAAGGCACCGUUACAUGGAUGUGGGAUUUCGCAGCCAUCCCACGGCUCUGCAAAGCUGUGACUUUCCCCUACGGGUACAUCUUCAAGAUACUAGUGGAGGCACGUGGCUGCCCAUCAAAGUCAGUUGAAGGAAAAACAAAGGAGCAGAGGGAAUUUAUUGGCUCAAGUCCUUGAAGGAGACUGGGUUGGACCUGGAUUUCCGGCACAGCUGACUUCUGUGUCACUCUUUCCAUUUCAUAUCCUUGCUCACACCGCCUGGCUUUAAUGGCUGGGGACUUCCAUGUGACAAAGACAGCCACGGGUGCUUCCCAGUUAUCACCAGUAAAACAAAGAAACAAGUAAUUAAACAAGUAAAAGCCUAAAAGGAUUCCAGUGGCCAAAUAUCUGACAAGAAGCAACAAGGAGAAGGAAGUUAGUGGGAAUUCGUAGUGUGGUGGAAAUUUGUUUCUGUCAAUAGUUUUGGAGUCUUAGGGCGUGGCUUCAGUGUGUGGCCAUGAUCCCUUACAUGGAAGAGAGGAGGGGACGUGCUCGCUCUCUCUUGAAGUUAUGGUCUGAGACCUGUUCAUCAUCAUCCUGCAUCUCAGCAUCCUGCCAACUAUUCCGAAAGACCACGGCAGCUAUUUCCCUUCAUUGUGUGUGUGUUCCCCAAAUAAAUAUGUUAUUCUUUCAUUUGAGUGCUUGUGGACUCCAUUGAUGCUCCCACAAGGAAGGGUUUGUUCCACUCAUAGUCUGAAGGGAGACAGUCCUCCAUGGUGCAGAAGGCAUGAGGUAGAAACGUAAGAUGGCUGCUGACAUUUUAUUUAUAUUUUGGAAGCAGAAAGUGUAUAAGAAGUAGAGCCAGGCUACAAAAGUUCAAAGCUUGCCCUCACUGAGUCACUUCCCUUAGUGAGGCUCCAGCUCCAAAAGAUUCCACAAUCUACUACAGUGCCACCAGCUAAGGACCAAGUGUUCAAACACGCAAGCCCACGGGGACAUCUCACCUUCAAGCCACCGCAGGAGGGUACAAGAAUCUCAACCUCAGCAGCACAAACGACAGGACUCAUCUGGCUUGAGCCACAGGCCUGUUUUCUGAAAUAACAGCUUGUCCAAGAGAGUCCUGAUUGGCACCAUCUCUGGGAUGACCUGGUACCUGUUGGACCCAAAAGUGAAGUCCAACUCCGGGAGAUGCACACCACAGAGUCACUCACAGGACACAAGUUCGAUGCAAAAGCAAAAGGAUUUUAUCCCAACGCGUUGGGGUCGUUCCCUGGGAAGAGAAGGACCCCGAGUUUUUAAAACACACAGUUUUUAUGUCUUUUUGGUCACUAGGCAGGAGUGUGACAACGUAUUGAUUGGCCAUAACAUACAUGAGUCAUUUACUAAUUGGUUGGGAACUGAACUUACAAUUUUGCCCACGAGGGGUUUGGAAUGUUAUUUUGGUUUUUACACCUGCAAGGCCAUGGGGCGGCUAGUGGUUUUUCUGGGAACAGAGUGACUUAUACUUAUUUUCAAAACUUGGGUGCUCUGGAGCAGGGUAACCCAUAACAAGUUUUAGAAACCAGACAGUUGUUGA
rnacentral:lncRNA from 1 species